rnacentral:rRNA from 1 species
UAGGCGGAGGAGAGGACUAACAAGGAUUUCCUUAGUAACGGCGAGCGAACCGGAAGUUGCCCAGCUUGGAAAUCAGGACAUUCCGUGCCCUGAAUUGUAGUCUGGAGAAGCGUCCUCUGCAGCGGACCGGGCCUAGGUUCCUUGGAAUGGGACGCCGGAGAGGGUGAGAGCCCCGUCCGGCCCGGACCCUGCUGUUCCACGAGGUGCUGUCGACGAGUCGGGCUGUUUGGGAAUGCAGCCUUAAGCGGGUGGUAAAUCUCAUCCAAGGCUAAAUAUUGGCGAGAGACCGAUAGUGAACAAGUACCGCGAGGGAAAGAUGAAAAGGACUUUGAAAAGAGAGUUAAAAAGUGCUUGAAAUUGCUGGGAGGGAAGCGAAUGGAUGCCUUGCGUGCCUCCCGGUUGUGUGCGGAACGGUGUGAGCUGGUCCGCGGAUCAACGCGGGGGGUCGGCCAGCGUCGGUGGGGGUGGUGGGAUAAGUGUCGGGCACUUGUGGUCCGGCCGAUGCCGCUGCCCCCUCCGGGGCUCGAGUGGUGCGCCACAUCUGUGGCGGGCUGAAGCACCUGCGCUGCUCGGACGCUGGCAUCUCGGGCCUUCCAUCCGACCCGUCUUGAAACACGGACCAAGGAGUCUAACAUGUAUGCGAGCCGGUGGGUGCCAAACCCGGUGAGGCGAAAGGAAACUGAUUCGUGGGAUCCCCUUUGGGGUGCACCAUGGACCGACCGUGAUCUUCUGUGAAAGGUUUGAGUGUGAGCAUACCUGCUGGGACCCGAAAGAUGGUGAACUAUGCCUGAGCAGGGCGAAGCCAGAGGAAACUCUGGUGGAGGCUCGUAGCGAUACUGACGUGCAAAUCGUUCGUCAGACUUGGGUAUAGGGGCGAAAGACUAAUCGAACCAUCUAGUAGCUGGUUCCCUCCGAAGUUUCCCUCAGGAUAGCUGGAGCUCUUGGUGAGUUUUAUCAGGUAAAGCGAAUGAUUAGAGGCAUCGGGGGUGAAACACCCUCGACCUAUUCUCAAACUUUAAAUAGGUAAGGUGCCGGGGUUGCUCCGUUGAACCCCGGCCGUAGAAUGCGAGCUCCAAGUGGGCCAUUUUUGGUAAGCAGAACUGGCGAUGCGGGAUGAACCGAA